ACGAACGCUGGCGGCGUGCUUAACACAUGCCAGUCGAACGGAAAGGCCCUGCUUUUGUGGGGUGCUCGCGUGGCGAACGGGUGAGUAACACGUGAGUAACCUGCCCUUGACUUUGGGAUAACUUCAGGAAACUGGGGCUAAUACCGGAUAGGAGCUCCUGCUUCAUGGUGGGGGUUGGAAAGUUUCGGCGGUUGGGGAUGGACUCGCGGCUUAUCAGCUUGUUGGUGGGGUAGUGGCUUACCAAGGCUUUGACGGGUAGCCGGCCUGAGAGGGUGACCGGCCACAUUGGGACUGCGAUACGGCACAGACUCCUACGGGAGGCAGCAGUGGGGAAUAUUGCACAAUGGGCGGAAGCCUGAUGCAGCAACGCCGCGUGCGGGAUGACGGCCUUCGGGUUGUAAACCGCUUUCGCCUGUGACGAAGCGUGAGUGACGGUAAUGGGUAAAGAAGCACCGGCUAACUACGUG
rnacentral:rRNA from 1 species